rnacentral:tRNA from 1 species
GGGCCGCUAGCUCAACUGGCAGAGCGCCGUGCUGAUAACGCGGAGGUACGUGCUUCGAGUCCACGGCGGCCCACCA